CCAUACAUUUCUACAUGGGCCAAACCGAGCCCAUGGGCCAUCGACCUCCUUGGUCUCAUCAGCUCGCGACCUCUGUACCGCCGCCGUCUCCGGCGCACCGCCGAACCCGAGCACUUCCUUCACCGCACCCCGCCCACCGGCUCUGAAGCGCUGCACUGCGCCACCGCUUCCCGCUGAUCGCAGUUGCGGCCGAUCAGGAAGUCUCACGUCUCCCCAACCCACCACCGCCUGCAAAUGCCAGAACGGCUCCGCCUCUCGUCGCUGCCACCUUGCGCUUCGGUGAGGGCUACGUGUGCGGAAACUGGCGCAGCUUCCCGGAUCCGCCUCCUGCUCGAUCGGUACUGACAGAGGUAUAUGAGAGCUAUUACUCCAUCAGACACAAACUUUCGCAAUUAAAUCACUAACCAAUUUACUGAUUAUUCCAAAUGUUCUUGUACAAAUGUUUCUUAUUUCUGUUUACCUGUUUCACCGACUAUCACCAUUAUAAUUCAACAUUAUCAUCUGUUGCCUUGGAUGACUCUACA